rnacentral:lncRNA from 1 species
GUGCAUGUAUAGAGCACAGGACUGCGACGUGCCGCACGCACGAGGAUGUGGGUGCUUGAUGACUGAUGAGGGGCAUCCAACGGUCAUCUAGCCCUUGAAUAAAAUGAGGCUUGUAAUAACACAUCUAAUGAUCAUCUAGACGUUGAUGAAAUGGCGGCCCCCUUAAGGGGGGUAUCUGUUUAUGGUGUUUGUAACACUACUGCAGUAAAUGUGCAACAUCCUUGUAGCUCUAUAAGCUAG